UACGGGGGGGGCAAGCGUUGUUCGGAAUUACUGGGCGUAAAGCGCACGUAGGCGGCUUUCUAAGUCAGGGGUGAAAUCCUGGAGCUCAACUCCAGAACUGCCUUUGAUACUGGAGAGCUUGAGUCCGGAAGAGGUGAGUGGAACUCCGAGUGUAGAGGUGAAAUUCGUAGAUAUUCGGAAGAACACCAGUGGCGAAGGCGGCUCACUGGUCCGGUACUGACGCUGAGGUGCGAAAGCGUGGGGAGCAAACAGG
rnacentral:rRNA from 1 species